rnacentral:rRNA from 1 species
AUGAGGAAGGCCACGGGUGGGGAUCUUGUGAGACCAGCAGCCACUCAUUUUGCCAUAGCCAUCCUCACACUUAGGAGUUUGGUCAAGAACAAGGCUGCAUUGAGGAGUUUAUUUACAUCUGAAGAAUGGGUUGGAAACAAGUUAGCAAAAACACAAGUUGGCUUGAAUGUGCAAGAGAUUAUACUUUCAACGGAGUGGUGGAGCGCAAUUGAGGACUGCCUUAGAGCUUCAACUCCACUUCUUAGAGUUCUUAGAGUAGCAGAUGGUGAUGAGAAGCCUGCCAUGCCAGAGAUUAAAGCACUUAUGAUUUAUGCAAAGGAGAGGAUCAAUCUAGGUUUCCCUCAACAAAACAAGCAACCAUUGCUCAAGAAGAUCUUGGCCAUUGUUGAUAAGCGUUGGGAGAAUCAAAUGGAUCAUCCAUUGUAUGGGGCUGCUCUAUUUUUGAACCCAGGAAAGUUCUUUCCUAUUGUAAGCAGAAAUGAUGAUGCCUUAGUUGGGGAGCUUAGGAGCUGCUUUAAUGAUGUGCUUGCAAAAAUGGUACCGGAUGCCAAUGUUCGAAAAAAGAUUGAUCAACAAUCUGUGCUCUAUGAGCAACAGCGAGAAAGCUUUUCUAAUCCAUUGGCACUCGAGACCAUGAGCACAAGAAACCCUCUUGAUUUGUGGAGUUCAUUUGGUGGUCGGGCCAUUGACCUACAAAGGUUUGCAAAGCGCAUUGUUAGUCUUUGUGCUUCAUCAUCUGGUUGUGAGAGGAAUUGGAGCACGUUUGAAUUUAUCCAUACAAAGAAAAGGAACAGAUUCCAAUGGAAAAGGUUGAAUGAUCUUGUCUUUGUUUCAUACAACCGGAAGAAUAUGCAACGGUUUCAAAAGAGGCGUGAGAAGGUGGGCGAGAAUAGCUUUGAGGCUUUGGUCAUUGAGGAUUUUGAUUGGGGCAAUGAGUGGGUGGACCCAUCACUAUCACAACCUCAAGGUGCUCGAGGUUGUCCUGAAGACAAUCAAGACAUUACAUGGGAGGAUGUUGAUGUGGCUAUUGGUGCAUCUUCAAACCUUCGAGGCCGCAAUCUGCAUAGGACAGCAACUACACUUCGUAGGGGCCAGACAAAUGUCCGUCUCCACUACGCACGCAAGAGACCUACUACAACACGACCUAUAAUUCCUGAAGAAGAUGAGGUAGAGGAGGACUUGGAGCAAGAGCAACACUCAAGUAUGCCCAAUGCGGAGGGGGAGGAUUCAGACUACGUUGAGGAUGAUGAUGAUGUGAGCAAUGACGAUCAAGAGCCAACUAAUGUUGACCAAGAUGGUGAAGACAACACCAAUGCCAAUGAGUUUGAUGAUGAUGACUUUUGA